rnacentral:rRNA from 1 species
UGGGGAAUAUUGCACAAUGGGCGCAAGCCUGAUGCAGCCAUGCCGCGUGUGUGAAGAAGGCCUUCGGGUUGUAAAGCACUUUCAGCGAGGAGGAAGGGUAGUGUGUUAAUAGCACAUUGCAUUGACGUUACUCGCAGAAGAAGCACAGGCUAACUCCGUGCCAGCAGCCGCGGUAAUACGGAGGGUGCAAGCGUUAAUCGGAAUUACUGGGCGUAAAGCGCACGCAGGCGGUUUGUUAAGUCAGAUGUGAAAUCCCCGCGCUUAACGUGGGAACUGCAUUUGAAACUGGCAAGCUAGAGUCUUGUAGAGGGGGGUAGAAUUCCAGGUGUAGCGGUGAAAUGCGUAGAGAUCUGGAGGAAUACCGGUGGCGAAGGCGGCCCCCUGGACAAAGACUGACGCUCAGGUGCGAAAGCGUGGGGAGCAAACA